GUAACGGCGAGUGAAGCGGUAACAGCUCAAAUUUGAAAUCUGGCUCCUCGGGGCCCGAAUUGUAAUUUGUAGAAGAUGCUUUGGGUCUGGGCCUGGCCUAAGUUCCUUGGAACAGGACGUCGUAGAGGGUGAGAAUCCCGUAUGCGGCUGGCGCCCGUGCCCGUGUAAAGCUCUUUCAACGAGUCGAGUUGUUUGGGAAUGCAGCUCUAAAUGGGUGGUAAAUUUCAUCUAAAGCUAAAUAUUGGCCAGAGACCGAUAGCGCACAAGUAGAGUGAUCGAAAGAUGAAAAGCACUUUGGAAAGAGAGUUAAACAGUACGUGAAAUUGUUGAAAGGGAAGCGCUGGCAACCAGACUUGGGCGCUGUUGAUCCGCUAGGGUUCUCUCUAGGGCACUCGGCAGUGCGCAGGCCAGCAUCGGUUUGGGGGGUUGGAGAAUGGCUGGUGGAAUGUGGCUGUCUUUGGGCAGUGUUAUAGCCACCGGUGGCAUGCAGCCUCCCCGGACCGAGGACCGCGCUUCGGCUAGGAUGCUGGCGUAAUGGUUGUCAGCGACCCGUCUUGAAACACGGACCAAGGAGUCUAACAUCUAUGCGAGUGUUUGGGUGUUAAACCCAUACGCGGAAUGAAAGUGAACGUAGGUGAGAACCCGCAAGGGUGCAUCAUCGACCGAUCCUGAUGUCUUCGGAUGGAUUUGAGUAAGAGCAUAGCUGUUGGGACCCGAAAGAUGGUGAACUAUGCCUGAAUAGGGUGAAGCCAGAGGAAACUCUGGUGGAGGCUCGCAGCGGUUCUGACGUGCAAAUCGAUCGUCAAAUUUGGGUAUAGGGGCG
rnacentral:rRNA from 1 species